ensembl:lncRNA
AAACGAGAAAAAAAAAAAACAUGGACACCUCCACGUUCAUCUUUUGUUAGCAUUAAGCUCGUGAAUUUGUCGGUAUGUUGAUGGAGCUACAGUGCAGUAGAACUCAUUUAAUGUUAAGAAGUGCUGCUGUGUUCUCUACUCAAGCUGUUGAGCGGCCAUGCUGAUUAGACGUCACUUGCUGAACUCUGAAGAACUCGGACGAACAGGACACUGAACGGUUUUCACUGACAGCUCCAGAACUGAGGGAUAAAGUCCUACCCCUAUUGUUUUGCACUUCUCCAUUGUUACCAGCAGAUGGCAGCAGCAGGCUGUGAUCAGGAAUCUUGUGCGGUCAUGAGGAAAUAAUUGAAAUAGAUUUACACAUACAGCAGGCAAUUUUUUAAACCAAAGCAGCUCACAUGUGCUCCAUAAGAUGCUGAGAUGUAAUCUGUUAAUUAACUGUUAAUGGAAACAGCACUCUACGUAUGUUUUCCAAGCGCUCAUCCGCUCUCGCUCAGAUCGUCUGCAGGAGCUAGAGCGCUCGCCCGUUACAUCUGAAACGGAUUUCAGAAAUUACUGUAUGAAUAAACACCUACACAGACAUCGUGCAUCAUGGCCGACGCUUCCUUAAGGAACUUUAAUAGCUCAGAUGUUUCCAUGACCUUCUACAUGAAUAUUCCCAAAGUACACCAUUAAACAAAAUAAAACACAUUAAAACACUACAAAGUAUAAAUAGUACAUGUAGUAAACAAUUCUAAAUGUUAAUAAAAUAAAUUACGAGACCUUUACCAAGCCAUAUCAUAUCAAAUCUGUAUACCCGGUGUAACCUUCAACAGAGUGCUUCCCUGUCAGAACCCUUAAAGAACCCUUGAUUAUCCAAUGAACCCUUAAAAAACACUUAAAAAACCCUUUUUAAUUCAAUGGAUAAUUUUUAGUUCACUGGAUAAUUAAGGGGUUCUUAAGGGUUCACUGGAUAAUUAAGGUCUUUAAGGGGUUUCACUGGAUAAUUAAGGGUUCUUUAAGGGUUCACUGGAUAAUUAAGGGCUCUUUAAGGGUUCACUGGAUAAUUAAAGGGCUCUUAAGGGUUCACUGGAUAAUUAAGGGCUCUUUAAGGGUUCACUGGAUAAGUUAAGGUU